rnacentral:lncRNA from 1 species
GAUGAAAGACAGAAAAUACAUUUUAAUUCUCACGUUGAUGAAAGAAUAUAAGUGCAUCAAACUUUCUAAGAGCCAUAUGACCUUAAUCAUUUCCACAAUCUUAUACAUUAAAAAGACAACAAACAAAUCUCCAUCAUUCCUCUUCCAAAACAAAAACAAAUAUUAGUUUUGUUUAGCUUUGUAGGGACAGUAUGCCUAGAUAUGUGCCCACAAAGAGACCCAAGAGGAUUAAAAUUAUUUCGGCCCAUGCUUCAUUUUUCUAAGACCUACAACUACAGAUUUUUACACAGCUAUUACCAAAGCAUAUUUAUUUUCAAGAUGUCCAUUUGUCAAGUCUUUCUAUUGAAGGAAACUGGCUCUAUUUAGCCAUAAGACACUGUCUCUGGGUUGAUAUGAUGGCUUAUUCCUUCAUCUGUAGGAGGAGGCAGGGCUUUGCCCAAACAUAAGACACCACGGUUUGAAUGAUGAGCUGGAAUUUGGGAGGGGAGGAAGAGGCAGCAUUGGCUGCUUUGUUUGUGAAGGUGGCAGGUAUGGCAGGAGGAAGGAGUUUGACUCCAGUAGAGAGCAGAGUGUUGGGAUUUAACCUGCCCUUCCCUUCCCUCUUCCUGCCUCUCUAGUUCCCUAUUCUCUACUGGUAUAGAUAGACUGGUAUAGAUAGAGGAAAGACUGCCUCUCUAGUUCCCUAUUCUCUACUGGUAUAGAUAGAGGAAAGACUGACACUCCUCUUCCUUUCCAUUAAUGGCUGCUCCUUUGAGUCAGGGCUCCUUUCCUUCCCCAUCCUAGGUCAGCACAGCAGACUCAAAGGUUUCUCACUGGACCCUGUUCUAAAAGCAGGUACAGCCUUUCUGAGAUUUUUCAUAAGACUUUUACCUGCCAGGAACAAUGGUAACAGACAUCAAGAACAAGAUGUACAAUCCCUGGAAAGCAGAUGAAGGUUAAGUUGCUGUCCUGUUCACCUGCCCAGUCUCUGUUUCCUGAAUUUCCUUCCAUUUACAGCAAGAAGCCCAUUCAUUUAUCCUGAAGCUCUCAGUACUUAGGUGCUUGUCCUUCUUGGUAUAAGUCAACUUGGUGUACGUUUCAUUUGAGUGACAGCUAGAAAAGCUCCACUCAAUAGUCACCUUGAUUGGAGGCAGAGGCCAAGUCACUUGCCACACCCAAGUCAGGAGGCUGCGUGUGUACAUGCAUGCAGAGGAAAGCCCAGGUGUAGAGGGGCUGACAAGGAGAGGAGGAAGGAGGAGAGAGGAGGGAGAACUCCUAGCGAUUGAAAGAAAGAUAAAUGGGAGCUACUGGUGUGAGUGGGACAACACAACGGAACCGUGGGAUGUCUGAAGACACUGUGCUCACUCAAGGAAGCGUGAAAGAGAGGAAGAAAAUUGGAGACCCAUAGAAAAUUAACAUUAGAUAAGGAUUCUAGAUGGUUUUUUGGUUAUAAAUACUUAGAGCUACUUGGUUUUAGCCUGAUAUCUACAAGUUAAUCUGUUGAGUUCCAGAUAAAAAGAAUACUGGUAAUGGAUUUAGAAGAGAAAUGAAUAAAAGACUGUUAUAUUUGCUGCCUGAA